rnacentral:rRNA from 1 species
UACGGAGGGUGCGAGCGUUGUCCGGAAUCAUUGGGCGUAAAGGGCGCGUAGGUGGCCUGCUAAGCGUGCGGUGAAAGCUCGGGGCUCAACUCCGAGUCGGCCGUGCGAACUGGGCUCACGUGGAGCAUAGUAGAGGCAGGUGGAAUUCCGGGUGUAGCGGUGGAAUGCGUAGAGAUCCGGAAGAACACCGGUGGCGAAGGCGGCCUGCUGGGCUAUGGCUGACACUGAGGCGCGACAGCGUGGGGAGCAAACAGG